rnacentral:rRNA from 1 species
GAUUAAGUUAUUAAGGGCGCACGGUGGAUGCCUUGGCACUAGAAGCCGAUGAAGGACGUUACUAACGACGAUAUGCUUUGGGGAGCUGUAAGUAAGCUUUGAUCCAGAGAUUUCCGAAUGGGGAAACCCAGCAUGAGUUAUGUCAUGUUAUCGAUAUGUGAAUACAUAGCAUAUCAGAAGGCACACCCGGAGAACUGAAACAUCUUAGUAACCGGAGGAAGAGAAAGAAAAUUCGAUUCCCUUAGUAGCGGCGAGCGAAACGGGAAGAGCCCAAACCAACAAGCUUGCUUGUUGGGGUUGUAGGACACUCUAUACGGAGUUACAAAGGACGACAUUAGACGAAUCAUCUGGAAAGAUGAAUCAAAGAAGGUAAUAAUCCUGUAGUCGAAAAUGUUGUCUCUCUUGAGUGGAUCCUGAGUACGACGGAGCACGUGAAAUUCCGUCGGAAUCUGGGAGGACCAUCUCCUAAGGCUAAAUACUCUCUAGUGACCGAUAGUGAACCAGUACCGUGAGGGAAAGGUGAAAAGCACCCCGGAAGGGGAGUGAAAUAGAACCUGAAACCGUGUGCUUACAAGUAGUCAGAGCCCGUUAAUGGGUGAUGGCGUGCCUUUUGUAGAAUGAACCGGCGAGUUACGAUUUGAUGCAAGGUUAAGCAGUAAAUGUGGAGCCGUAGCGAAAGCGAGUCUGAAUAGGGCGUUUAGUAUUUGGUCGUAGACCCGAAACCAGGUGAUCUACCCUUGGUCAGGUUGAAGUUCAGGUAACACUGAAUGGAGGACCGAACCGACUUACGUUGAAAAGUGAGCGGAUGAACUGAGGGUAGCGGAGAAAUUCCAAUCGAACCUGGAGAUAGCUGGUUCUCUCCGAAAUAGCUUUAGGGCUAGCCUCAAGUGAUGAUUAUUGGAGGUAGAGCACUGUUUGGACGAGGGGCCCCUCUCGGGUUACCGAAUUCAGACAAACUCCGAAUGCCAAUUAAUUUAACUUGGGAGUCAGAACAUGGGUGAUAAGGUCCGUGUUCGAAAGGGAAACAGCCCAGACCACCAGCUAAGGUCCCAAAAUAUAUGUUAAGUGGAAAAGGAUGUGGCGUUGCCCAGACAACUAGGAUGUUGGCUUAGAAGCAGCCAUCAUUUAAAGAGUGCGUAAUAGCUCACUAGUCGAGUGACACUGCGCCGAAAAUGUACCGGGGCUAAACAUAUUACCGAAGCUGUGGAUUGUCCUUUGGACAAUGGUAGGAGAGCGUUCUAAGGGCGUUGAAGCAUGAUCGUAAGGACAUGUGGAGCGCUUAGAAGUGAGAAUGCCGGUGUGAGUAGCGAAAGACGGGUGAGAAUCCCGUCCACCGAUUGACUAAGGUUUCCAGAGGAAGGCUCGUCCGCUCUGGGUUAGUCGGGUCCUAA